GACAGAGGUGCCAAGCGUUAGGCGGAAUCACUGGGCUUAAAGCGUGUGUAGGCGGAUCGUUAAGUACCUUGUGAAAUCCCCCGGCUCAACCGGGGAACGGCUGGGUAUACUGUCGGUCUUGAGCCACCUAGGGGCAGUCGGAACAAGUGGUGGAGCGGUGAAAUGCGUAGAUAUCACUUGGAACGCCAAUGGUGAAAACAGACUGCUGGGGGUGUGCUGACGCUGAGACACGAAAGCCAGGGGAGCAAACGGG
rnacentral:rRNA from 1 species